AUGGGGACUAGCCCGGGUGGCUCGACGUCACCUGUUACCCGAAACCGCCGGUACGCGGGGGGCGAAGUCCGAGGACGGCUCGUGCGAUCCUUGGGAUACGGGGAUAUCCUGACGUAGAUACCUCGUCCCAUGAGGCCGGUGGACAGGGAUCAAAGCUUCGGAAGAAGUAGCGACCUGUUAUUGUGGAGAACGGUUCAGGCCCGGAAGGGAGCAGACUUACCAUGAACAUUCGGCGCCCACGGGGUAGCGGGGUGGAGAAGGGAGGUUUCCGCGAACUUGGAUGCGCUGUUCCAACCAAGGACAUGUCCCCAU
rnacentral:SRP_RNA from 1 species